CCGUCCCGGCCACGCCCGUGCGGCCCGUGCUCAGCCCCACGCGCGCCGCAGCCUGGCGGGACACACAGUGACCCCUCAGUUUAGGAGGGCGGGCCCGAAGGAUGGGUCCGGCUCUUAAAGGCACGAGGGGACAAG